CCUACGGGGGGCAGCAGUGAGGAAUAUUGGUCAAUGGACGAGAGUCUGAACCAGCCAAGUAGCGUGAAGGAUGACUGCCCUAUGGGUUGUAAACUUCUUUUAUAUGGGAAUAAAAUGUUCCACGUGUGGGAUUUUGUAUGUACCAUAUGAAUAAGGAUCGGCUAACUCCGUGCCAGCAGCCGCGGUAAUACGGAGGAUCCGAGCGUUAUCCGGAUUUAUUGGGUUUAAAGGGAGCGUAGGUGGAUUGUCAAGUCAGUUGUGAAAGUUUGCGGCUCAACCAUAAAAUUGCAGUUGAAACUGGGAGUCUUGAGUACAGUAGAGGUGGACGGAAUUCGUGGUGUAGCGGUGAAAUGCUUAGAUAUCACGAAGAACUCCGAUUGCGAAGGCAGCUCACUGGACUGCAACUGACACUGAGGCUCGAAAGUGUGGGUAUCAAACAGGAUUAGAUACCCCAGUAGUC
rnacentral:rRNA from 1 species